rnacentral:rRNA from 1 species
AGCGAACGCUGGCGGCAGGCCUAACACAUGCAAGUCGAACGAACUCUUCGGAGUUAGUGGCGGACGGGUGAGUAACACGUGGGAACGUGCCUUUAGGUUCGGAAUAACUCAGGGAAACUUGUGCUAAUACCGAAUGUGCCCUUCGGGGGAAAGAUUUAUCGCCUUUAGAGCGGCCCGCGUCUGAUUAGCUAGUUGGUGAGGUAAAGGCUCACCAAGGCGACGAUCAGUAGCUGGUCUGAGAGGAUGAUCAGCCACAUUGGGACUGAGACACGGCCCAAAAUCCUACGGGAGGCAGCAGUGGGGAAUCGUGCGCAAUGGGCGAAAGCCUGACGCAGCCAUGCCGCGUGAAUGAUGAAGGUCUUAGGAUUGUAAAAUUCUUUCAACGGGGACGAUAAUGACGGUACCCGGAGAAGAAGCCCCGGCUAACUUCGUG